rnacentral:tRNA from 1 species
GAGAAGUUAGUUAAACACAUAAUAUUGGAUUGUCAGUCCUACGUUACUAAUAAAAUUUAGUACUCCUCA